GACGAACGCUGGCGGCGUGCUUAACACAUGCAAGUCGAACGGUGAACCUCUUCGGAGGGGCUCAGUGGCGAACGGGUGAGUAACACGUGGGCAACCUGCCCCCGGCUCUGGGAUAACUCCAAGAAAAUGGGGCUAAUACCGGAUGUUCACCGCUUCCCGCAUGGGUGGGGGUGCAAAGGGUUUCCGGCUGGGGAUGGGCCCGCGGCCUAGCAGCUUGUUGGUGGGGUAGUGGCGUACCAAGGCGACGACGGGUAGCCGGCCUGGGAGGGUGACCGGCCACACUGGGACUGAGACACGGCCCAGACUCGUACGGGAGGCAGCAGUGGGGAAUAUUGCGCAAUGGGCAGAAGCCUGACGCAGCGACGCCGCGUGGGGGAUGACGGCCUUCGGGUUGUAAACCUCUUUCAGCAGGGACGAAGCGCAAGUGACGGUACCUGAAGAAGAAGCACCGGCUAACUACGUG
rnacentral:rRNA from 1 species